ACAUCUGUAAACGAUAAUUGACAAUGCAAUCGUAAUCGUAAACAGAAUCUUAAUCAGGCCAGCAAUCGUAAAUAUAAUUGCAAUUGGCUUUUUAAUGCCCCAAUUAAUGCGCAAUUUAAUUGAUUAUCGUACAAUUUCUGGCUUUGAUUAAUAUUCUAUUUACCGGUGCUAUUUGCAAAGCAACGGUUUCGUUCUUAUUUAAUGUCCGCUUUGUAGCCCUUUUUUAAAUGCCCGAGCAAUGCUCAGUCUUAACCCAUCCUCCCUAUUUUCUGGCCUGUUAGCGCGCGCCACCAAGCGGACACGGCGAAACUAGUACUUCCCCCUUCAUGGUGUUCACAUGAGGCGGCAAAGGCAGACAAGAUAUAGAUGCAAAGAAGAGAUAGGCAAUUGUAUCAAGGAUUUUUACCAAUAUUUUCAGCCCCAGCGGUUUUUCAUCCUCCAUUGUUAUCGUCGCAACUCGCAAAUCCAGUUCAGAGAGGCAUGGCAGAUCAAAUUCCGAGAUACCAUGACAACAAUUCACCUGGUGUCACAAACCAAGUUUACAACUACAAUCAGAAAAAUUCACCUGGUGUGUCAAACCAAGUGCUCCACAUGACUGCAAACAGCUCGCCUGGUGUUGCAAACCAAGUAUUGAGAAUGAUUACUGAUUUGGCUUCGCAGCUUCAACAGCAGUCAGCACAGCAAGGACAAGGUGUUGAUUUUGGCUCUGACAAUCUUGAUUCACCUGGUGUGUCAAACCAAGUGCUGAACAUGACUGCUAACAGCUCACCUGCUGUGGCAAACCAGGCUGAGAGACUAGAUGACUAUGGGAAUCUGUAUGUUCUUUGAACUGCUCACCAGUUGCUUCUGCUUAACGACCAAACUCAAAAGUCAUUGGAUGCACAUCAGCUUGCCAUUUAUUUAGAUCUUGGCUACACUGCCACAUUCAUUGCGGAAUUGACUGGUGUUCACUUAAAAAAAGUAAGGAGAAUGAUGGAAUAAUAAUUUAAUUCAUAUUUUUUGUUUUCACAGGAUGAACCUGGUAGAGACGGAGGAGAUCCCGAUGAUUGGGACCAAACUGUUCAUACUAUUCCCGCUGUGGAUGUCGCUGCUUUUCGUUGUCCAUUGAAUGCUGAGCAGUUAUUCGAGAUGGAGAGGCGCAUCAGAAAAGAACAGAUUGAUCUCGAAAAUUUACACAUACAUUAAAUACCAGGAUGUGAAAAAUUAUGUUUUGAACUCAUUGGUUAACUGAGCCCUUUUUAUUUGCCUUUCUAACACUUCUCACUCUGCCAACUCAUUCCAAUACGUGUCGAAAAUUGGCUGUUGAUGUGUAGAUAUUGCCACUUGCUGGUUCAUGUGAAAGUCAAUAAAAAGCGUAACGAUAGGUCUUAACGUUA